CCGGCGCACGGGUGCGUAACGCGUAUGCAAUCUACCUUGUACAGGGGGAUAGCCCAGAGAAAUUUGGAUUAAUACCCCAUGGUGUAUUAGAGUGGCAUCAUUUAAAUACUAAAGUUCCAACGGUACAAGAUGAGCAUGCGUCCCAUUAGUUAGUUGGUAAGGUAACGGCUUACCAAGACGAUGAUGGGUAGGGGUCCUGAGAGGGAGAUCCCCCACACUGGUACCGAGACACGGACCAGACUCCUACGGGAGGCAGCAGUGAGGAAUAUUGGUCAAUGGGCGAGAGCCUGAACCAGCCAUGCCGCGUGCAGGAAGACGGUCCUAUGGAUUGUAAACUGCUUUUAUACAGGAAGAAACACUCCCUCGUGAGGGAACUUGACGGUACUGUAGGAAUAAGGAUCGGCUAACUCCGUGCCAGCAGCCGCGGUAAUACGGAGGAUCCAAGCGUUAUCCGGAAUCAUUGGGUUUAAAGGGUCUGUAGGCGGUUUAAUAAGUCAGUGGUGAAAUCUGGUCGCUCAACGAUCAAACGGCCAUUGAUACUGUUAAACUUGAAUUAGUGUGAAGUAACUAGAAUAUGUAGUGUAGCGGUGAAAUGCUUAGAUAUUACAUGGAAUACCAAUUGCGAAGGCAGGUUACUAACACUAUAUUGACGCUGAUAGACGAAAGCGUGGGUAGCGAACAGGAUUAGAUACCCUGGUAGUCCACGCCGUANACGAUGGAUACUAGCUGUUUGGAGCAAUCUGAGUGGUUAAGCGAAAGUGAUAAGUAUCCCACCUGGGGAGUACGCACGCAAGUGUGAAACUCAAAGGAAUUGACGGGGGCCCGCA
rnacentral:rRNA from 1 species